UGUCUCUGUUAAUGGCAAUGCUUGCUUAAAUCUUAUUCUGUAAUAUCAUGGGUUCUAUUAUUUUUUAGGACAAUUUUGUGACAGACCUGGCCUGGCAACUCCAAAUGGCCUCUGUGAUGAUGGAUACUUCUGUACCCAAGGGUCCUUGUGGUCUCGCCCCUCUGAGGUAUCCAGCAAUGGAGGGCCCUGCCCUGCAGGUCAUUCCUGUCCCAAAGGGAGUCAUGCUCCCCAGUCUUGUCCUCCAGGAACAUUUUCACAGUCUGUAGCUCAACACCAAUGUUCUGACUGUCCAGAGGGAUUUUAUUGUCCUGCACAGUCAUCUAAUAUAACCAUCUGCCCUGAAGGACAUUACUGCCCAAAGAAGACAGAAUAUGCAGCACAGUACCCAUGUCCUCCAGGUACAUUCAGCGGCAUUCAGGGAGCCACUGACAUUGGCACAUGCCUGCCCUGCCCACCUGGAAAGUUUUGUUCCAGACCCGGACUAGAGAGACCAGAAGGUUAUUGCGCCCCUGGCUGGUUCUGCUAUGCAGGAUCAGUUUCUGA